rnacentral:lncRNA from 12 species
AUCUCACAAAGAAAGAGACCUCGAAUGUCUUGUUGUUCGUCUCUGUAUUCACAGCCCAGAGGACGACGUGUGGCACACGUUAGGCGCUCCACCAAUGAACCUAACUCAGGCAUCACUUGCACUCCCAGGUGUACCUCGAAGCAUGCACGCGUGCACACACACACAAGGACUUUCUGAAGAAACUGGCCAAGCUGGCUCAGAACCGCCAGCCAAAAGAACUCCACGUAAGUCAAGCAGGCUCUUGCCUAAGAAAGCAGAUGUGUGUGUGGAGGGGAGGGCCCACGGAGUAAUUAGGGCGAUAUCUCCAAGGGGGAAGCAUGCCUUCUUGGGGGAAGAUGGUGGGCCCAUCUGUCAACAAGGCCGCCUUGACUCUUCUCUCUGGGCUGGGCACCGUGGGGGGUACAGGAUGUCAGGAGCUCAGCGAGCCCUCCCAGGUCUGAAUGCUCUGACAUGAAGACACCCCAGCUCUUCUUCCCUCCUGCCUCGCUCCCCCUCCUCCAUGCCCUGGAGCUCAAAUUGUGUUAGGAGAGAUAAGAUUUAUACACACCAAAGUGAAGUAAUAAUAAGAUGGUUUGUGCCAAGUGUGUGGUCUAUCUACUCAUUAAUAAGCAUUUAUUGAGUCUUCUUGGGACCAGGCACUGGGCUGAGCAAGGAGGAUACAUAGAAGAAAGGGACCCAGCCUCCCUUCUUAGCACAGGACCAGUGGGGAGGACAGGGUCCUUAACCACCCAUGGCCACAACAGAGGCAAGACGCCCAGGGCCUCAUGGUAGCACACAGUAGGUGCCAAGCUAAAUCCUUGGGCUCAGCCCUUCCUGUUGAGUUCCUAAUAGGGACCAGUUCCUAUUACUGGUCCCAUUUCAUGGGUGAGAGAACAGAGGCUUAACAAAGGUCAGCAACUUGUCCAAGGUCCUGAAGCUUGUAAGAGAAGGAGGCAGGACAUGAGUCCAGGAAGCGUGGCUUGAAGGGCCAGGUCCCCUUGUGCUGGACUCUAGGCUGCCGGGCCCGUGCACGGGGGAGAGCUGAGAGUGAAGGCCGGGCUGGAUCGUGAGGGGCCCCGAGUGCCUCAUGGUUUCAUCCCGGAGUGAGUGAGGGACACCUCCCAAGCCAGAGGGCCAUGGGCUGUGUGGUCAGGGAACAAAAGCGUCCUGGGGAUGGAAAGCAUCACUGGGGAUGGUGGGCUUGAGCUGGCCAUUGUGGGACCUGGGGGAAAUAGUGGGAGCAAGGCGAGGAGGGGAAGGGAAGGCUCCCCAGCAUGGGUGGGGAAGGUACCUGUGCAGGGUUAAGGACAGUGAGCAUUGGGAAGGCGAGUCCUUGAAUUCCAGACUCGCAUUUAUCUCUGGGGUCAUCAGCGCUGACUGUGUAGACAGGGAUGGCCCAGGCAGGUGGGGCUCCGGGAUGCUCUGUGCCAGGCACAGUGUGGCUGUAGGAUGAGCAAGACAGACAUGGCCCCUGG